rnacentral:rRNA from 1 species
UGUCUCAGUUCGGAUUGGAGUCUGNAACCCGACUCCAUGAAGCUGGAUUCGCUAGUAAUCGCGCAUCAGCCACGGCGCGGUGAAUACGUUCCCGGGCCUUGUACACACCGCCCGUCAAGCCAUGGGAGCCGGGAGUGCCUGAAGUGCGCGGCCGCGAGGAGCGCCCUAGGACAAGACUGGUGACUGGGGCUAAGUCGUAACAAGGUACC